GACGAACGCUGGCGGCGUGCCUAAUACAUGCAAGUCGAACGAGAGCGCCCGGUGCUUGCACUGGCCAAUCUAGUGGCGAACGGGUGAGUAACACGUGGGUAACCUGCCCAUCAGAGGGGGAUAACAUUCGGAAACGGAUGCUAAAACCGCAUAGGUCUUCGAACCGCAUGGUUUGAAGAGGAAAAGAGGCGCAAGCUUCUGCUGAUGGAUGGACCCGCGGUGCAUUAGCUAGUUGGUGAGGUAACGGCUCACCAAGGCCGUGAUGCAUAGCCGACCUGAGAGGGUGAUCGGCCACAUUGGGACUGAGACACGGCCCAAACUCCUACGGGAGGCAGCAGUAGGGAAUCUUCCGCAAUGGACGCAAGUCUGACGGAGCAACGCCGCGUGAGUGAAGAAGGUUUUCGGAUCGUAAAACUCUGUUGUUAGAGAAGAAUAAGUGCUAGAGUAACUGUUAGCGCCUUGACGGUAUCUAACCAGAAAGCCACGGCUAACUACGUG
rnacentral:rRNA from 1 species